ACGGUGAGUAAUGCCUAGGAAUCUGCCUGGUAGUGGGGGAUAACGUCCGGAAACGGACGCUAAUACCGCAUACGUCCUACGGGAGAAAGCAGGGGACCUUCGGGCCUUGCGCUAUCAGAUGAGCCUAGGUCGGAUUAGCUAGUUGGUGGGGUAAUGGCUCACCAAGGCGACGAUCCGUAACUGGUCUGAGAGGAUGAUCAGUCACACUGGAACUGAGACACGGUCCAGACUCCUACGGGAGGCAGCAGUGGGGAAUAUUGGACAAUGGGCGAAAGCCUGAUCCAGCCAUGCCGCGUGUGUGAAGAAGGUCUUCGGAUUGUAAAGCACUUUAAGUUGGGAGGAAGGGCAGUAAAUUAAUACUUUGCUGUUUUGACGUUACCGACAGAAUAAGCACCGGCUAACUACUGU
rnacentral:rRNA from 1 species